AUCUUAUUAGUUUAAAUUAAAAUAUGACUUUGAAGCGGUUAAGAUAAUAAAAGAUGA
rnacentral:tRNA from 1 species